rnacentral:rRNA from 1 species
UUCGCCUUCAUGAAGCCGGAAUUGCUAGUAAUGGCAGGUCAGCAUACUGCCGUGAAUACGUUCCCGGGCCUUGUACACACCGCCCGUCACACCAUGAGAGUUGGGGAUACCCGAAGCCUGUGAGCUAACUAUUUAUAGGAGCAGCAGUCGAAGGUAGAAUCAAUGAUUGGGGUGAAGUCGUAACAAGGUAGC